rnacentral:rRNA from 1 species
UACGGAGGAUCCAAGCGUUAUCCGGAUUUAUUGGGUUUAAAGGGUGCGUAGGCGGUCCUAUAAGUCAGUGGUGAAAUAUCGCAGCUCAACUGUGAGGGUGCCAUUGAUGCUGUAGGACUUGAGUGAAUUUGAGGUAGGCGGAAUUGACGGUGUAGCGGUGAAAUGCUUAGAUAUCGUCAAGAACACCGAUAGUGAAGACAGCUUACCAAGCUUCAACUGACGCUGAGGCACGAAAGUGUGGGGAUCAAACAGG